rnacentral:rRNA from 1 species
AACUCAAAGGAAUUGACGGGGGCCCGCACAAGCGGAGGAACAUGUGGUUUAAUUCGAUGAUACGCGAGGAACCUUACCCGGGCUCAAACGCAGGGGGAAUGUCGGUGAAAGCCGGCAGCUAGUAAUAGUCACCUGCGAGGUGCUGCAUGGUUGUCGUCAGCUCGUGCCGUGAGGUGUCGGCUUAAGUGCCAUAACGAGCGCAACCCCUAUCGACAGUUACUAACGGGUGAAGCCGAGGACUCUGUCGAGACUGCCGGCGCAAGCCGCGAGGAAGGUGGGGAUGACGUCAAAUCAGCACGGCCCUUACGUCCGGGGCGACACACGUGUUACAAUGGCAGGUACAGAAGGCAGCCAGUCAGCAAUGACGCGCGAAUCCCGAAAACCUGUCUCAGUUCGGAUUGGAGUCUGCAACCCGACUCCAUGAAGCUGGAUUCGCUAGUAAUCGCGCAUCAGCCAUGGCGCGGUGAAUACGUUCCCGGGCCUUGUACUCACCGCCCGUC